UUAGCACCCAAAACCCAAAGAUCAUACCGAUGCACUGUGAUGUGAUCUUGCCUGGUGUGCUGAAAGAAAUGUGUACCUUGUCGCCUUUCGGAUGCUGAUUUGUGCUCUCGAAAGUGAAAUCAAGGUUCUACACCG